rnacentral:rRNA from 1 species
AUUGAACGCUGGCGGCAGGCCUAACACAUGCAAGUCGAGCGGUAGAGAGGUGCUUGCAUCUCUUGAGAGCGGCGGACGGGUGAGUAAUGCCUAGGAAUCUGCCUGGUGUGGGGGAUAACGUUCGGAAACGGACGCUAAUACCGCAUACGUCCUACGGGAGAAAGCGGGGGAUCUUCGGACCUCGCGCCAUUAGAUGAGCCUAGGUCGGAUUAGCUAGUUGGUGAGGUAAUGGCUCACCAAGGCGACGAUCCGUAACUGGUCUGAGAGGAUGAUCAGUCACACUGGAACUGAGACACGGUCCAGACUCCUACGGGAGGCAGCAGUGGGGAAUAUUGGACAAUGGGCGAAAGCCUGAUCCAGCCAUGCCGCGUGUGUGAAGAAAGGUCUUCGGAUUGUAAAGNACUUUAAGUUGGGAGGAAGGGUAGGUAACCUAAUACGUUGCUACUUGACGUUACCGACAGAAUAAG